UGGGGAUAUUGCACAAUGGGGCGCAAGCCUGAUGCAGCGACGCCGCGUGGAGGAAGAAGGUUUUCGGAUUGUAAACUCCUGUCUUCAGGGACGAUAAUGACGGUACCUGAGGAGGAAGCCACGGCUAACUACGUGCCAGCAGCCGCGGUAAUACGUAGGUGGCAAGCGUUGUCCGGAAUUACUGGGUGUAAAGGGAGCGUAGGCGGGAUUGCAAGUCAGCGGUGAAAUGUAUGGGCUUAACCCAUGAACUGCCGUUGAAACUGUAGUUCUUGAGUGAAGUAGAGGCAGGCGGAAUUCCUAGUGUAGCGGUGAAAUGCGUAGAUAUUAGGAGGAACACCAGUGGCGAAGGCGGCCUGCUGGGCUUUUACUGACGCUGAGGCUCGAAAGUGUGGGUAGCAAACAGGAUUAGAUACCCUGGUAGU
rnacentral:rRNA from 1 species